ACUCAGACAGUAUACGAUGCAGCGAAUAUAUCUGCAGUGGGAGGAGCCUGCACACAGUGGGAGGAGUAUAUGUAAUCUCUCUGCAUUGGGAGGAGCCUGCACACAGUGGGAGGAGCCUAUGUAAUCUCUCUGCAAAGAGAAGAGAGUUGUAUUGGCAAUACAAUAAUACAACAUUUCAA